GGUCAGAUGGCCGAGCGGUCUAAGGCGCCAGCUUCAGGUUCUCCUGUUGAAUUAUCACCUCCUCUUCUGAGGAGCAAUAAUAUGCUGGUCUAGUAAUAGGCGUGGGUUCGAAUCCCACUCUGAUCA